CUUUUUCGAGGUGGCCGCCUGGGUGUAGUGAAGGCUGCUGCAGUUCUCUGCCUGCUGCGGUUCACGCCGUACUCUUCCUUAGUCUCGCUGCCACCCGCACUGCGCUCCUUUGGGUUGCCUCACGAUGCUACGGAAUGUUGAGCGCGGCACCAAGGCCCAGUGAGAGGGGCCGGACCCCUUGAAGGCCGCGCCCUGCUCCAGCCUGGCCCCGAGCGGCCCUGCGCUCCAGUGUGAUGGAACGUCCCAGCAGGUGAAUUGGUGAUAGUCGUAAUGCACGUGAUUUAGGUCUGCCAUUGAAGAGUCCAGGCUGACUGAAGUUGACCUUUCCAGUGAGGGAAGACUCAGGUCAUGACACUGAUGGAACACAGUAUUCUGAGGACCCGGUUACCCCUGGGUUUUAUUGGCAGUUCCCGAAAGUGCUGAAGUAUCUGAAGACACCAGCUUUUCCUGGAGCUGUGCUUUACACUAAGGUAAGUUGGAUGAUGAAGACGGCCUGACCCUCCGGUUCCCUUUCCCAUCGGAUCUGAACACUGGUCUUGGUGGUCGUAAGAGGAGGAAUAACAGUACUGAAGCUGUCCUUACGGGGCCUGUAGUCUUCUACAGAGCAUGUGGGCUAGUUUCAGACAAGGUUGAAUUCUCUUGGAACUUCUUUUACAGGGAGAUCCCUGUAUAAUGAGAUAAACUUAGGCUUACGGAGAGGCUGUAUGUAAAACGUUGGGCGGUUGGUAUAGUGACUGCUGAAUAGUUCUGUAUUUGGGAGGGAUUUAUCAAUAGCUUUUUAGUCUCUUGACUGAGUGUUCCUUUUUUUUAUCCUCCUAAGAUUUUUUAUCAGUAAAGCUGUCAUCCAUCUCUGAUUGUGGAUCUACAGUUGGGUGAGUUAAAUGUCUACCUGAAGUUUUAUCACAACUUUAUUGCAGCUUCCAGAAGUUUUUGACUGCUAUGACCCUAAGCAGUGUAGCAAAGGCUAUUCAGGUCUGGUUUUUUUUAAAUCUUAUUUUUUAAAUAUAGCAUUUAUACCUGGCCUGCCUUGCCUUGUCUGGCUUAUUUGUUGGCUUUCACAACUGGGGGACAAACAAAUGCGUACAAGGGAGUUCCCAAUGUGGUUCAGGGGUUAAGAACCUUGGCUUGAGCUCAUGCCUCUCCUGUGGGAGGGUGGGAGAGUAGCUCAGGGUAUUUUUUCCAGGCUGUGACUGGUCCAGGAUGAAACCUUAUCUGAGUGGACAUCUGUGGAUGAUAAAUGCGGAUAUGGGACUGAGACCGGCUCUUAGGAAAAUGCUUGAGUAGCAUUGAUUAAUUGGGGCAGUACUAACACACUGGCUUAUACUUCCUUUUCAGGAGAGAGACACUACACAAAGAGGCAAAUGAAGAGACAAGAAGCUCUUUUAGGUGUAAAAACUGACUUUUUGCACAUGUUGGUACAUGGUGUAUAAAUGACCAAUAAAAGACUCCUGGAUA
rnacentral:lncRNA from 1 species